ACGACCUUACUUGAACAGGAUCUAUUCUAUAGGCUCAUACCUCUGUAUCCUUGAGUUCUAACGAGACAGGAAACCAAGCCUGGUUUAUGAACAAUAGCGAAGUGGCUAGAGCGUGAGUAACACCACCGUACCCUCACCAGACGGCGUUGUAGAGGAUCGUUUAUGGCCGUCUAACUGCCGCUUCGCUGUCUGACAGGCU
rnacentral:snoRNA from 1 species